rnacentral:rRNA from 1 species
ACUCAAAUGAAUUGACGGGGGUCCGCACAAGCGGUGGAACAUGUGGUUUAAUUCGACACUACGCGAGGAACCUUACCUGGGCUUGACAUGUAACUGCAACCGGCAGAAACGUCGGGUUCUUGGGAAACCAAGACGGUUACACAGGUGCUGCAUGGCUGUCGUCAGCUCGUGUCGUGAGAUGUUGGGUUAAGUCCUUUAACGAGCGCAACCCCUGCUGUUAGUUGCAAGUCGAAAGACGCACUCUAACAGGACUGCCUGGGAAACCAGGAGGAAGGUGGGGAUGACGUCAAGUCCUCAUGGCCCUUAUGUCCAGGGCUACACACGUGUUACAAUGGCGAGUACAAAGGGAAGCAAGCCUGCGAGGGUAAGCAAACCCCAAAAAACUCGUCUAAGUUCAGAUUGAAGUCUGCAACCCGACUUCAUGAAGUUGAAAUCGCUAGUAAUCGCGCAUCAGAACGGCGCGGUGAAUACGUUCUCGGACCUUGCACACACCGCCCGU